UUGGAUGUUUUUGAAACAGUGAUACAAAUCCCGGUGGUAAACUAAUUCUUUGUUCAAUAUUUAAUUGGUUGGGCAUGUCCUAAAGCAGAGGAUGAUGAUCAGGAAAAUGGGUAUGGUUUUGAGGAGUUCAGACUCUCCACUCUCGUCGUCUUCAUUUUCCGCUUCCGUACUUCCAUGGCCAAAACCCUAUCCUCUAUCUCCAGUUUCCAUUUGCAGGUUCCCCAUCAAACCCAUUGCUAUGCUCUCCCAAUCACUCAGUGCACUUCCUCUCUUGAAACCCUUUACCACAAAUGCAUCGACUGAUGUUACGGAUGCCGUCUCUGCAACUGACGACGACGAAGACGACGAUAAUUUUCUGUUUUACAACCUUCCUCUUGACCCCAAGUUGCAACAGAAGCUUGAGCAUAAGAUGCGGAUGAAGUUUUCCAAGAAUGUACGUCUUCGCACCAAGAAACUUGAUCGGAAACGCAGGAUGAGAAAGAAAGCACAUAACCCCAAGGCUGUCUAAUUUAGGUCUAAUGAACUAAGGGUUCGUAAGCGUAUGACUAUUUGGUUCUUAGCUUAAAAAGAUGAGAGUACUGAGUAAACGGAUAAAAUGAGAUAUGAGAGAAAUGUGGAAGGUGUUACAGUCAUGGGUUUGCCAUCUGAGUUAUAGGUCCAGCGACCUGUAUAUCAAAGAUUGCGUUUUCCGACAGGCAAAAGGUAUGGCUUGGGAGUUAAAAGGUUUCUAAAGAUUUCCUUUAUUUUAAUGCUGACAAUCAGUUUCCUGAUCUAGCCCAUACUUUUUGAUAACCUGUAUCUUAUAUAUGGCUGUGAAGUUCAUCAAGGUCAUGAUGAUUUGGAUUAUGAGCCUGAGAAACCAUCUUCUCCAUAUUUCCCUUUUCUUUCUCCAUUCAGUACUAAUUGAAGAUAAGUUGAUACCAUCAAAAUCCACAUUAUCAAGAUAUUUGAAGUCAUUGAAAAAAAAAAGUAGGCUGAAUAUUGUCCUUCUGUGCCUGGCACCUAAUUGUAGCAUUCAAGUUACCUAGAGAACAUGGCAGUGAAAUGGUUUAGACUGCAUUUUGAGACAAAAUGUAGAAGAUGAUUGCUUUUUGUAUUUAGCUUUCUUAUGAAAGCAAGGAUUAAAUUCACGUUGCAUGUAAUGUAUAGUUAUUAUUUUUGCUCUCGGUGUUUGUCGAUUUUCUUUAA